CCCCGUAAUAAAAAAAUAAGUAAUAUACAGCUAAAUAACACUCACACAAGGUAACAUACAUUGUUUAAAGCUUAAUAAAUUCGAUACAUCUAAUUGACAACUCUAUUAAUCUCGAUGCUUUUUCUAGGAUGAUGUGGUUUAAAAUUUUCGAAAUUUGUUAUAUACAUAAUACAUUACUAAGAUAUCAGCUGCUCUUCUGUACACCCGGGUGUACUUUCCUCUAGUUACACCCGGGGAUAUUUUUGUAAUAUCGUAGUAAUUAUUCCACAUUGUUGACGUGUGCUCAACGAUCUCCCUUUUCUACGAUAAAUAAUUUUUCUCUCUUCACUCUGUUCAUUAUUUCUCCCAAAAAUUAAUAAUUUCUACAAAAAUUCACUCAAUAUUUUUACAAAAAUUCGCUCAAAAAGUUAUUUUCUAUAAAGAUUAUUCAUGAUAUUAAAGUUGUAUAUUAUGAAGAUUGAAACGAAAAACCUUCAACAAGCUUGGCAUUAAUGGCGGAAUUGGUUUUACUCAAUAAUGAUCCAAUUUAGACAAUUGUUCAUCAAUCUCAACAACAAUCUAUUCUACCAGGUUAUUUUCUCUCUCCUCUCUCUUCUCUUUCGUACUUUCUCUCUCUUCAACCAGCUUCUCUGUUUUCUCUCUCUACCGCGUGUUUCUCUUUCUUCGUUCUCUCUCUAAACGCGGCGGAAGGAGGAAUGCGGCGAGUUUUGGUGGAUUCGACUUUCAGGAGAAGCGGCUAAGGGUAAAUUUGCUGAUGUGCAUCGACUUAAUGGUGGUCAAGAAGCAUUUUAUGCUGGUUCAUUUUGGAAAGUACGAUUUCAAUUUUCUUUUCCUGUAUGUUCUUGAAUGUGUAUUAUUAGAGCAUAUACCGAAGAAAAAGCCUACUCAUUUUCCAGAAUUGAUAUUUUUAAACUUAUUCAGUCUGUUGCAUCUAACAGAUAAGUGUUCAAGCUUUUAAUGAUGAAGAUCCUCAAGGGCGUAGGACACUUGGCUUAUUUAUUCAUCGCCGGAAGGCUGAAAUAAUGGAUCCUCAAAGGAAGGUCGUUGGAAUCAGAUAGCUUAUGGUUCUUGAAAGAAUCACAAUUUGGCUAUUACAAAAUUAUCUGAUGACAAGCAGGAGCAGGAGAAGUUAUCUGAUGAUAAAGAGAAGAAGGAAAAGUUAUCGGAUGAUAGUAACCUUAUAUUUGUAAAUAGUGACUUCUAUAUAAAUGUGGUCAAUGUUGUCGAAAUUGAUAUAAUUACCUUAUUUUUAUAUAUAGUGGCCUCUAUAUAAAUGUGGUCAAAAUUG